CAGAGUCAGCUGGUCACAAAGAUGGCAAUUCUGGAAGAAAUAAUUGUCGCACCCUUGGUGGUAGCUUUCUCCUGGUGAUGGUCGAUGGCCUCACAAUAAGGAUUUGGUGAUAGUGUAAUGGGGGCUUGGUGAGAGGUUGUGAGCCAGAAGAGUUCGCAGCCCAAUUGGGAGCUGGGAAGGCGGUUUUGUCCCAGCAGUUGAAACUGUUCCAACACGUGGGAUCCCUGGGAACAAGCUGGGUGCCGGAAAAGGUUGUAUUGUUUUGUUAAUUAU